rnacentral:rRNA from 1 species
CCUACGGGAGGCAGCAGUAGGGAAUCUUUCACAAUGGGCGAAAGCCUGAUGGAGCAACGCCGCGUGCAGGAUGAAGGCCUUCGGGUUGUAAACUGCUUUUAUAAGCGAGAAAUAUGAUGGUAACUUAUGAAUAAGGAUCGGCUAACUACGUGCCAGCAGCCGCGGUCAUACGUAGGAUCCGAGCAUUAUCCGGAGUGACUGGGUGUAAAGAGUUGCGUAGGUGGCAUAAUAAGUAGCUAGUGAAAUCUGGUGGCUCAACCAUUCAGACUAUUAGCUAAACUGUUAAGCUCGAGACCGUUAGGGGUAACUGGAAUUUCUAGUGUAGGAGUGAAAUCCGGAGAUAGUAGAAGGAACACCAAUAGCGUAGGCAGGUUGCUGGGACGGUUCUGACACUAAGGCACGAAAGCGUAGGGAGCAAACAGGAUUAGAUACCCCAGUAGUC